UACGUAGGUGGCAAGCGUUGUCCGGAUUUACUGGGCGUAAAGGGCGUGCAGGCGGUUUGUUAAGUGCAGAGUGAAAGCUCCCGGCUCAACUGGGAGAGGUCUUUGCAUACUGGCAAACUCGAGGGAGGCAGAGGAAAGUGGAAUUCCCGGUGUAGUGGUGAUAUGCGUAGAUAUCGGGAGGAACACCAGUGGCGAAGGCGGCUUCCUGGCCUGUUCUUGACGCUGAGGCGCGAAAGCUAGGGGAGCAAACGGG
rnacentral:rRNA from 1 species